rnacentral:lncRNA from 1 species
GAGAUCCUUCAGGAUGGCAGAAAAAAAAAACCUCAACAUUUGAUCUGGCAUAUAGACCACUGGGUCUCUCUGCAGACAAGCAUAAUGAAAAGCUGGAGGCCUCGCCUGUGGGGUUCUGUCCUCUGGGCCACAUGCAGCUAUGCCAAGCAGGGAUGAUGUGGGAGAGAAGAAAGGGAAGAAAUAGACUAUGCAGCACUUAAACCCCCAGCUCGCUCCUGGCUUGAUGCAGUGGGCUGUUCUCAGUAUAGACAGGGACUCUGGGACACUUGAUGGGCUGCUGCUGCUGUCAAUUCCUGCAGGGAUUUCACGAGCUGGAAGAACACAAGCCUGCAGCAAAGAAUCCCAUGCGAGUGGGAUUCUCAGGCGACUCUGCCUCCCCAGGAUGAUUUGGGAGAACAGGUCCGGGCUGCUUCAAAUGGUGGCCAGUCAGAGACAUGAAGUGGCUCCUCUCUACAGGGACAUCAGAGCUGAGAUCAGGGCAGCCCCAGGAUUCGAGAGAAGGGCAUCCUGGCAGCUCAGGCCCUGUGGCAAUGACCGUCGCGCUUAACCCUCCUAUGCAAUCAACUCAAACCCAGAACUCAAUAGCAACAACACUAUUUGCUUUCUGGACAGCCUCUUAAGAGGCUCUAAAUCAGUAGGUCUCCCACAAUUGAGCUGUGCAGCUUUUGAUAAAGGAAAUGACUUUUCUGAGCAUUGAUUUCUUCAUCAGUAAAGUGAAAAUAGCUUCACCCAUCUCUCCAAUAUUGGGAGAAUAAUGUAAAAUGCUGACCACCACUUCUGGCACAUUUGCUCUGCAGUUCCAUGAAUUCGUGAAGUGAAGACCUCAUUUCUACUCUAACAUCAGUGCUGAAGUCCACUUUCAUAAUCUCCUUUUCAAAGUGACCUGUCUCAGCACUCGUGACCUUGAACUCCUGAAUAAAGGGAUGUCAAGCAUUAGAGAAAGAAUGAAAAAUGCACAGUGAAUCUAGUAUCAAACAAAAACAGCCAGCGCAUCAUUUCUGGAAUGACUGAGUUUUAGCCUUCGGAGAGAGACAUUUCCAGGAUUUCUGAAAUAAGAUACCAAGAUGCCAAUCAACAUUUCCUAAGGACAAUCAUUACCAAUAUCCACACCCGCCUCUACUGCCUCAAGUGCUUUUCGGGUGAGGGUCACAGAGAUAAAGUCUCAAUGCAAAAAUUCGGUGGGACUAGAUAGAUAGGCUUUUUCCUCAUUCAUUUAUUCUUUCACUCAAAUGUGAACUGUUGAAUUGCAUUGUACAAUCUCAGCACCCAGUGGUAGACACAAAAAAAGUAAAGGCUGUUUGGUUCCUACUCUUGGGAAGACUGCAAACUAACAGAGGUGAAAGAUAGAGCUGUAUGAAAAAUAGGACAAUAAAAGGGUCAAAUACUCAGUAAGAUAAUAGCUCAAGAGAUGCCCCAAGACAGUGUGCAAUUAAAUACCAAACGAGAGGUUGCAACAAGAACCACCAGGAGUUCAAGGGAGUGGCUGAGAUCAGAGAGGGCUACAGCACUGGGGGCAUCUUUGAUGGAGCAGUGAGAAUUGAACAGAAUCUUCAAAGACUGCCAGGUUUUAGGAAGUUGUGGGGAUCCAUUUCAAUACCACCAAUGCUUUUUCAAAGGCCGCUGUGUUCCAGAAUCUUCUUGAUUAUAAAAGAUAAUCAGAGAACACAGGCUUCCUGACCUCCUGGAGAGAACGUGUGGAUCCAGAACCAAACGCUUGAAAAUUAAAACAUGUAUGUUAGACAACAACAUAAAUACGUCUAUUGUAGGAAGCUGUGUGAAUGUUAUGUAAAGGAAUGAUUCGUUGCUAACGAUCGUAUAGCCUUUACAGCAUUAAAUGUCUCCCGUUGUGAGGUUGGAGGGAGUUUCCAUCCCUCACAAAGAUUUUAUACAAAGAGGAA